UACCCCGGGAUGGCCUUAAGUAACCGUAAGUGAAGCGGCAAAAGCUCAAAUUUGAAAUCUGGCACCUUCGGUGUCCGAGUUGUAAUUUGAAGAAGGUAACUUUGGAGUUGGCUCUUGUCUAUGUUCCUUGGAACAGGACGUCACAGAGGGUGAGAAUCCCGUGCGAUGAGAUGCCCAAUUCUAUGUAAAGUGCUUUCGAAGAGUCGAGUUGUUUGGGAAUGCAGCUCUAAGUGGGUGGUAAAUUCCAUCUAAAGCUAAAUAUUGGCGAGAGACCGAUAGCGAACAAGUACAGUGAUGGAAAGAUGAAAAGAACUUUGAAAAGAGAGUGAAAAAGUACGUGAAAUUGUUGAAAGGGAAGGGCUUGAGAUCAGACUUGGUAUUUUGCGAUCCUUUCCUUCUUGGUUGGGUUCCUCGCAGCUUACUGGGCCAGCAUCGGUUUGGAUGGUAGGAUAAUGACUAAGGAAUGUGGCUCUACUUCGGUGGAGUGUUAUAGCCUUGGUUGAUACUGCCUGUCUAGACCGAGGACUGCGUCUUUGACUAGGAUGUUGGCAUAAUGAUCUUAAGCCACCCGU
rnacentral:rRNA from 1 species